rnacentral:lncRNA from 1 species
AGUUGUUUUUGAUUCCUUGUGUAGUGCUUUGAUAGGUGCUUGUUGCAUACUUUUAUUCAUUGCAUUACAUGAUGAUUUUCGUGUGUGAAAGUUAUUUUUAAAAUUGAUUUGAGGAAAGGUGUUUGGGAAUUUAAAAAUUUUUUUUUCUUUGAGAGAGGAGAUGAUUGAGAAUCAUUAUUUUGAGGAGAGAAAUUUUUCAAAGUUGUUUAAACGGUGUUUAACUUUACAAUCAUAUUAAGUUAAAUUCAUAUUAAUUAUCGUUUUUAUUCAAUUUUUUAUUAUUUUGACGAUAAUUUAAUACAUGAUUUUUUAAUACAUAUAUUUAUCAAAAUUUUGAAAUCAAAUUUGAUCUCUUGGUGAUUAAUCUAUCUCGGUUGUGUGUGUUGA